UCCUACGGGGCGCAGCAGUGGGGAAUAUUGCACAAUGGGCGAAAGCCUGAUGCAGCAACGCCGCGUGAGGGAAGAAGGUACAGCGUAUCGUAAACCUCUUUUGUCAGGGAACAAAGGCGGGGACUAGUCCCCGGAUGAGGGUACCUGAAGAAAAAGCACCGGCUAACUCCGUGCCAGCAGCCGCGGUAAUACGGAGGAUGCGAGCGUUAUCCGGAUUUAUUGGGUUUAAAGGGUGCGCAGGCGGCCUGUUAAGUCAGCGGUAAAAGCCCGGGGCUCAACCCCGGCCCGCCGUUGAAACUGGCAGU
rnacentral:rRNA from 1 species